rnacentral:rRNA from 1 species
GAGUUUGAUCAUGGCUCAGAGCGAACGCUGGCGGCAUGCUUAACACAUGCAAGUCGCACGGUCAGCAAUGGCAGUGGCGGACGGGUGAGUAACGCGUAGGUAUCUAUCCACGGGUGGGGGACAACGUCGGGAAACUGACGCUAAUACCGCAUGAUACCCGAGGGUCAAAGGCGCAAGUCGCCUGUGGAGGAGCCUGCGUACGAUUAGCUUGUUGGUGGGGUAAAGGCCUACCAAGGCGACGAUCGUUAGCUGGUCUGAGAGGAUGAUCAGCCACAUUGGGACUGAGACACGGCCCAAACUCCUACGGGAGGCAGCAGUGGGGAAUAUUGGACAAUGGGCGCAAGCCUGAUCCAGCAAUGCCGCGUGUGUGAAGAAGGUCUUCGGAUUGUAAAGCACUUUCGGCGGGGACGAUGAUGACGGUACCCGCAGAAGAAGCCCCGGCUAACUUCGUGCCAGCAGCCGCGGUAAUACG